UUUUCCUACGGGGGGCAGCAGUGAGGAAUAUUGGUCAAUGGGCGGGAGCCUGAACCAGCCAAGCCGCGUGAAGGAAGAAGGCGCCAAGCGUCGUAAACUUCUUUUGUCGGGGAACAAAGGGCGCCACGUGUGGCGUUGUGAGUGUACCCGAAGAAAAAGCAUCGGCUAACUCCGUGCCAGCAGCCACGGUAAUACGGAGGAUGCGAGCGUUAUCCGGAUUUAUUGGGUUUAAAGGGUGCGCAGGCGGACCAUCAAGUCAGCGGUAAAAUCGUGGGGCCCAACCCCAUCCCGCCGUUGAAACUGGG
rnacentral:rRNA from 1 species